rnacentral:pre_miRNA from 1 species
GUAGUACUCCCUCCAUUCCAUAAUUUUUGUCGAAAUAUUACAUGUAUUUAGACGAUUUUUAGGAAUAGAUACAUCCAUUUUUAGGCAAAAUUGAGACAUGAAUUAUGAAAUGGAGGGAGUAGUAU